CUCAUUCGGAGUGAAAUAAUGACGUCUAAUGCCCACACACGGCUCCCCGUGACCUUAUUCAAUCUUGGGGCUGAUCGGGAAAUAUAUUGAUUCAAUUAUACACUGAUGACAAAUGAACUCAAAGAAAGAGGAAAAAAAGGCCAGGCCCUCCACCUUGUGGUCUCAGCCUGUUGAAGGCAGAAGACAGAGACUGGGAACAGAGCCAGAGGGUUGGUUAGGGCCUGGAAGGCAAGGAGCAAUUGAGCGAUUUUGUCCUCAGAAGGCUCUGACUGCAGAGAGGGCCCACCCUGGUGUGUGCCGAGGAACCAAAGGUCAGGACGCAGCCAGGGAGGCCUGGACGCAGAUCUGGAGCUCCCAGCCCUGGCCAUACAUCUGCCACAGGGAUCGAUGGAAGUCAUUAUCAUUGCCACAUGUUAAUGAUACCAAUUAAUUCCCCAUCUGUGGGCCCAAUGCAGCCUUCAGCACUGAAGGUUAAAGAGAGGGGACUUUCUCAGGGUGAGUCUCCCCAGGGUGCCAGUUCUGGGCCUGUGUGUGAGGCUGGCAAGAG